rnacentral:rRNA from 1 species
GACGAACGCUGGCGGCGUGCUUAACACAUGCAAGCCGAGCGGUAUUGUUUCUUCGGAAAUGAGAGAGCGGCGUACGGGUGCGGAACACGUGUGUAACCUGCCUUUAUCUGGGGGAUAGCCUUUCGAAAGGAAGAUUAAUACUCCAUAAUAUAUUGAACGGCAUCGUUUAAUAUUGAAAGCUCCGGCGGAUAGAGAUGGGCACGCGCAAGAUUAGCUAGUUGGUGAGGUAACGGCUCACCAAGGCGAUGAUCUUUAGGGGGCCUGAGAGGGUGAUCCCCCACACUGGUGCUGAGACACGGACCAGACUCCUACGGGAGGCAGCAGUGAGGAAUAUUGGUCAAUGGGUGCAAGCCUGAACCAGCCAUCCCGCGUGAAGGACGACUGCCCUAUGGGUUGUAAGCUUCUUUUGUAUAGGGAUAAACCUACCCUCGUGAGGGUAGCUGAAGGUACUAUACGAAUAAGCACCGGCUAACUCCGUGCCAGCCGCCGCCGUAACAC